rnacentral:rRNA from 1 species
GAUGAACGCUGGCGGCGUGCCUAAUACAUGCAAGUCGAGCGAACAGACGAGGAGCUUGCUCCUUUGACGUUAGCGGCGGACGGGUGAGUAACACGUGGAUAACCUACCUAUAAGACUGGGAUAACUUCGGGAAACCGGAGCUAAUACCGGAUAACAUGUUGAACCGCAUGGUUCAACAGUGAAAGACGGUCUUGCUGUCACUUAUAGAUGGAUCCGCGCCGCAUUAGCUAGUUGGUAAGGUAACGGCUUACCAAGGCAACGAUGCGUAGCCGACCUGAGAGGGUGAUCGGCCACACUGGAACUGAGACACGGCCCAGAGUCCUACGGGAGGCAGCAGUAGGGAAUCUUCCGCAAUGGGCGAAAGCCUGACGGAGCAACGCCGCGUGAGUGAAGAAGGUCUUCGGAUCGUAAAACUCUGUUAGUAGGGAAGAACAAAUGUGUAAGUAACUAUGCACGUCUUGACGGUACCUAAUCAGAAAGCCACGGCUAACUACGUG